rnacentral:RNase_P_RNA from 1 species
UAGGCUAGCUGGAUGAUCGCUCUUAAUUUAAGAGAGGAAAGUCCGAACUCCGCAGGAUAGGGUGCCUCCUAACGGGAGGACUCAUUAAGAGAUGGAAAGUGCAACAGAAAGUAAACCGCCUUUUUAAGGUAAGGGUGAAACGGUAGUGUAAGAGACUACCAGAAAGGCUUGAGAAAGCUUUUGCUAUGCAAACCCCACCUGGAGAAAGAUCAAAUAACUUUGUGUUAUCCGCACAUAAAAGUGGGUAGAUCGCUCGAGCCUAUUAGUGAUAAUAGGCCUAGAUGAAUGGUCAUCGUUCAGUUUACUGAAUACAGAAUUCGGCUUAUAGGCUAGCCUUAUAU